UCUUCCCUCUUUCUUCGUGCCUAAUACAUGCAAGUCGAGCGAACAGACGAGGAGCUUGCUCCUCUGACGUUAGCGGCGGACGGGUGAGUAACACGUGGAUAACCUACCUAUAAGACUGGGAUAACUUCGGGAAACCGGAGCUAAUACCGGAUAAUAUAUUGAACCGCAUGGUUCAAUAGUGAAAGUCGGUUUUGCUGUCACUUAUAGAUGGAUCCGCGCCGCAUUAGCUAGUUGGUAAGGUAACGGCUUACCAAGGCAACGAUGCGUAGCCGACCUGAGAGGGUGAUCGGCCACACUGGAACUGAGACACGGUCCAGACUCCUACGGGAGGCAGCAGUAGGGAAUCUUCCGCAAUGGGCGAAAGCCUGACGGAGCAACGCCGCGUGAGUGAUGAAGGUCUUCGGAUCGUAAAACUCUGUUAUUAGGGAAGAACAAAUGUGUAAGUAACUAUGCACGUCUUGACGGUACCUAAUCAGAAAGCCACGGCUAACUACGUG
rnacentral:rRNA from 1 species